rnacentral:rRNA from 1 species
GAUGAACGCUGGCGGCGUGCCUAAUACAUGCAAGUCGAGCGAACAGACGAGGAGCUUGCUCCUCUGACGUUAGCGGCGGACGGGUGAGUAACACGUGGAUAACCUACCUAUAAGACUGGGAUAACUUCGGGAAACCGGAGCUAAUACCGGAUAAUAUAUUGAACCGCAUGGUUCAAUAGUGAAAGACGGUUUUGCUGUCACUUAUAGAUGGAUCCGCGCCGCAUUAGCUAGUUGGUAAGGUAACGGCUUACCAAGGCAACGAUGCGUAGCCGACCUGAGCGGGUGAUCGGCCACACUGGAACUGAACCACGGUCCAGACUACUACGGGAGGCAGCAGUAGGGAAUCUUCCGCAAUUGGCGAAAACCUGACGGAGCAACGCCACGUGAGUGAUGAAGGUCUUCGGAUCGUAGAACUCUGUUAUUAGGGAAGAACAAAUGUGUAAGUAACUAUGCACGUCUUGACGGUACCUAAUCAGAAAGCCACGGCUAACUACGUG